rnacentral:rRNA from 1 species
AAUGAACGUUGGCGGCGUGGAUUAGGCAUGCAAGUCGAGCGAGAACCCCGCAAGGGGGGACAGCGGCGAAAGGGACAGUAAUGUGUAGAUUAUCUGCCCUCAGGUCCGGGAUAGCUGCGGGAAACUGCAGGUAAUACCGGAUAACAUCUCCGGAUCAAAGGUGUGAUUCCGCCUGAGGAUGAGUCUGCAUCCUAUUAGCUAGUUGGUGGGGUAAUGGCCUACCAAGGCAUUGAUGGGUAGCAGGUGUGAGAGCACGACCUGCGUCAUUGGGACUGAGACACUGCCCAGACACCGACGGGUGGCUGCAGUCGAGAAUCUGCGGCAAUGGGCGAAAGCCUGACCGAGCGACGCCGCGUGUGGGAUGAAGGCCUGCGGGUUGUAAACCACUGUCAGAGGGGAUGAAAUGCAGGUGGGUUCUCCCAUCUGUUUGACAUAGCCUCAGAGGAAGGACGGGCUAAGUUCGUG